rnacentral:lncRNA from 1 species
GGACAGGAGGGGGGGGGAUUGUUAGGGACAGGAGGGGGGGGGGGAUUGUUAGGGACAGAAGGGGGGGGAUUGGAUAUCAUUCAUACCAGGGACAGGAGGAGGAUUGGAUCGCGUUCAUACCAGGGACAGGAGGAGGAUUGGAUCGCGUUCAUACCAGGGACAGGAGGAGGAUUGGAUCGCGUUCAUACCAGGGACAGGAGGAGGAUUGGAUCGCGUUCAUACCAGGGACAGGAGGAGGAUUGGAUCGCGUUCAUACCAGGGACAGGAGGAGGAUUGGAUCGCGUUCAUACCAGGGACAGGGGGGGGUUGGAUAUCGUUCAUACCAGGGACAGGAGGAGGAUUGGAUCGCGUUCAUACCAGGGACAGGAGGAGGAUUGGAUCGCGUUCAUACCAGGGACAGGAGGAGGAUUGGAUCGCGUUCAUACCAGGGACAGGAGGAGGAUUGGAUCGCGUUCAUACCAGGGACAGGGGGAGGAUUGGAUCACGUUCAUACCAGGGACAGGAGGAUUGGAUCGCGUUCAUACCAGGGACAGGAGGAGGAUUGGGUCGCGUUCAUACCAGGGACAGGGGGAGGAUUGGAUCACGUUCAUACCAGGGACAGGAGGAGGAUUGGAUCGCGUUCAUACCAGGGACAGGAGGAGGAUUGGAUCGCGUUCAUACCAGGGACAGGAGGAGGAUUGGAUCGCGUUCAUACCAGGGACAGGAGGAUUGGAUCGCGUUCAUACCAGGGACAGGAGGAUUGGAUCGCGUUCAUACCAGGGACAGGAGGAGGAUUGGAUCACGUUCAUACCAGGGACAGGAGGAGGAUUGGAUCGCGUUCAUACCAGGGACAGGAGGAGGAUUGGAUCGCGUUCAUACCAGGGACAGGUGGAGGAUUGGAUCGCAUUCAUACCAGGGACAGGAGGAGGAUUGGAUCGCGUUCAUACCAGGGACAGGAGGAGGAUUGGAUCGCGUUCAUACCAGGGACAGGAGGAGGAUUGGAUCGCGUUCAUACCAGGGACAGGAGGAGGAUUGGAUCGCGUUCAUACCAGGGACAGGAGGAGGAUUGGAUCGCGUUCAUACCAGGGACAGGAGGAGGAUUGGAUCGCGUUCAUACCAGGGACAGGAGGAGGAUUGGCUCGCGUUCAUACCAGGGACAGGAGGAGGAUUGGAUCGCGUUCAUACCAGGGACAGGAGGAGGAUUGGAUCGCGUUCAUACCAGGGACAGGAGGAGGAUUGGAUCGCGUUCAUACCAGGGACAGGUGGAGGAUUGGAUCGCGUUCAUACCAGGGACAGGAGGAGGAUUGGAUCGCGUUCAUACCAGGGACAGGAGGAGGAUUGGAUCGCGUUCAUACCAAUACAUCUGAAUCAGAAAGAUAA